GAUGAACGCUGGCGGCGUGCCUAAUACAUGCAAGUCGAGCGAAUGGAUUAAGAGCUUGCUCUUGUGAAGUUAGCGGCGGACGGGUGAGUAACACGUGGGUAACCUGCCCAUAAGACUGGGAUAACUCCGGGAAACCGGGGCUAAUACCGGAUAACAUUUUGAACCGCAUGGUUCGAAAUUGAAAGGCGGCUUCGGCUGUCACUUAUGGAUGGAACCGCGUCGCAUUAGAUAGUUGGUGAGGUAGCGGCUCACCAAGGCAACGAUGCGUAGCCGACCUGAGAGGGUGAUCGGCCACACUGGGACUGAGACACGGCCCAGACUCCUACGGGGGGCAGCAGUAGGGAAUCUUCCGCAAUGGACGAAAGUCUGACGGAACAACGCCGCGUGAGUGAUGAAGGCUUUCGGGUCGUAAAACUCUGUUGUUAGGGAAGAACAAGUGCUAGUUGAAUAAGCUGGCACCUUGACGGUACCUAACCAGAAAGCCACGGCUAACUACGUGCCAGCCGCCGCAGUAA
rnacentral:rRNA from 1 species